GCAAGUCGUGCGAGAAAGUAUCUUCGGAUAUGAGUAGAGCGGCGGACGGGUGAGUAACGCGUAGGAAUCUACCUAGUAGAAGGGGAUAGCCCGGGGAAACCCGGAUUAAUACCGUAUACCUCCCUCGGGAGAAAGAAGGCCUCUCUUUGAAGCUUUCGCUACUAGAUGAGCCUGCGUAAGAUUAGCUUGUUGGUGAGGUAAAGGCUCACCAAGGCUACGAUCUUUAGCUGGUCUGAGAGGACGAUCAGCCACAUUGGGACUGAGACACGGCCCAGACUCCUACGGGAGGCAGCAGUGGGGAAUAUUGGACAAUGGGCGCAAGCCUGAUCCAGCCAUACCGCGUGUGUGAAGAAGGCCUUCGGGUUGUAAAGCACUUUAAGCAGGGAGAAAAAGUUAUAAGUUAAUACCUUAUAACCUUGAUGUUACCUGCAGAAUAAGCACCGGCUAAUUCCGUGCCAGCAGCCGCGGUAAUACGGAAGGUGCAAGCGUUAAUCGGAAUUACUGGGCGUAAAGCGCGCGUAGGUGGUUUGUUAAGUUGGAUGUGAAAGCCCUGGGCUCAACCUAGGAACUGCAUCCAAAACUAACUCACUAGAGUACGAUAGAGGGAGGUAGAAUUCAUAGUGUAGCGGUGGAAUGCGUAGAUAUUAUGAAGAAUACCAGUGGCGAAGGCGGCCUCCUGGAUCUGUACUGACACUGAGGUGCGAAAGCGUGGGUAGCGAACAGGAUUAGAUACCCUGGUAGUCCACGCCGUAAACGAUGACAACUAGCUGUUGGAAGACAACGUCUUUCAGUGGCGCAGCUAACGUUUUAAGUUGUCCGCCUGGGGAGUACGGCCGCAAGGCUAAAACUCAAAUGAAUUGACGGGGACC
rnacentral:rRNA from 1 species